rnacentral:rRNA from 1 species
GGUACAACCCUCCGAAAGGGGGGCUGAUACCGCGUACAUCCCCUGGGGGCAUCCCCGGGGGAGGAAAGCCCUUUUGGGCGGGCGGGGAUGGGCAUGCGGCGCAUUAGGAAGACGGCGGUGUGACGGACCACCGUUCCGACGAUGCGUAGGGGUUCUGAGAGGAAGGCCCCCCACACUGGUACUGAGACACGGACCAGACUCCUACGGGAGGCAGCAGUGAGGAAUAUUGGUCAAUGGCCGGAAGGCUGAACCAGCCAAGCCGCGUGAGGGAGGAAGGCGCAGAGCGUCGCAGACCUCUUUUGCCGGGGGACAAAAGGCCGGACUCGUCCGGUCCUGAGGGUACCCGGAGAAAAAGCAUCGGCUAACUCCGUGCCAGCAGCCGCGGUAAUACGGAGGAUACGAGCGUUAUCCGGAUUCAUUGGGUUUAAAGGGUGCGCAGGCGGGCCUUUAAGCCGGCGGUGAAAUCGCGGGGCUCAACCCCGCCGAGCCGUCGGAACUGGGGGCCUUGAGUGCGGCGGAGGCAUGCGGAAUGCGCGGUGUAGCGGUGAAAUGCAUAGAUAUCGCGCAGAACCCCGAUUGCGAAGGCAGCGUGCCGUGCCGCCACUGACGCUGAGGCACGAAAGCGCGGGGAUCGAACAGGAUUAGAUACCCUGGUAGUCCGCGCCGUAAACGAUGGAUGCAGGGUGUCCGGGGCGUUCAGGCCCUGGGUGCCGGAG